UACGAAGGGGGCUAGCGUUGCUCGGAAUCACUGGGCGUAAAGGGCGCGUAGGCGGCCGAUCAAGUCAGGGUGAAAGCCUGUGGCUCAACCACAGAAUUGCCUUUGAUACUGUUUGGCUCGAGACCGGAAGAGGUUGGUGGAACUGCGAGUGUAGAGGUGAAAUUCGUAGAUAUUCGCAAGAACACCAGUGGCGAAGGCGGCCAACUGGUCCGGAUCUGACGCUGAGGCGCGAAAGCGUGGGGAGCAAACAGG
rnacentral:rRNA from 1 species